ACGUAGGGGGCAAGCGUUAUUCGGAAUUACUGGGCGUAAAGGGAGUGUAGGUCGCCGAUUAAGUCAAGGAUGAAAUCCCGAGGCUCAACCUCGGAAUGGUCCUUGAUACUGGUCGGCUUGAGGCUAGUUGAGGAGAGCGGAAUUCCCGGUGGAGCGGUGAAAUGCGUAGAUAUCGGGAGGAACACCUGAGGCGAAGGCGGUUCUCUAAACUAGUCCUGACACUGAAACUCGAAAGCCAGGGGAGCAAACGG
rnacentral:rRNA from 1 species